rnacentral:lncRNA from 1 species
UCUCACCCCAUACCUCAUUUGGCGAUCUCGUACGAUAAGACAUUAAUUUCAGCAGCGUCGGAGCAAUCCAGAAAUAAAUUGUUUGAAAGCGGGUCCAGAGAAUAACCAAAUCGCAACUGAUAAUUUGCGAUGAUGAUAAAAAUGUCAAAUAUGUAAUAAAUGAUAUUAAGCGCAGAAACAUAAUUGGAAUUAUGGAAUGAAUAAAAAAAAUGGUCGGAGGACCUUACCGACAUGGAUGACUCGAAACGGUGCUUACGGAUAACAACAACACGUAACACCGCCGCCAUCGGAUUUUCGUGAAUGUUGACGAAACUU